AUAUAUGUUCUCGACAUGCUCUUAAGAGAUAAUAGAUGUGAUUUUGCCUCGGUUUCUGAAUGCACAGCACUGGAGUUCUUGACAUGCUUUAAGAUACGUGUGGACGAUAUAUUCCGAUCGGAGGGAUAUAAACCGACCACGAGGACUGGUCUGCGGAGUUGGUUGACUCUCAGUCGUUGAUUCGGACCCGACCCGGUUGCCUUCUAUAAAUGCCCUCGUCAUCCGGAGCACGUGGCAUCCACGCGGAUGGGCUCCACCGAUCUCCUACGGGUGAACUACGAGGUGACGUCACCCCUGACGGUUUUUCUAGAACCGGUGGUAGCCGUCUGAUGGGCAAUCUUCAAGAGAAACUCCUCGCCGCCCAUUCGCCUCUCGAAUGCCCUCAGGAUACUCCGAUCGGGCUUCUGCCGCGGCGCCGGAUCCAUGUCGAGGAUUCGGGCUCUCCUUCGAUCGUCAAUCGACGCCAUAAAGUUAGGUAAUGUCGUCGUAUUCAUCGGAGAAGUCCAGCCUUGAAUGGGAAAUAGGCUUCUACAAAAUCUUUAUUCGAUCUUGGUUUUGCUUUGGUCCCUGGUUCUUGGAAUCUUUAUCGAUUGCUGUGGUGGGACUGGGAGGGUCAAGAUUCUGCUUUGGGGUAGAUGAUGAAGGGAAGAAGGUGCUGAUGGUUCGUCAGUUCUUGCCGUGUAGAAACUUCUAGCUUUUUGAAAUGGCCAAGUAUUGAUUCAAGAAAGAAUAAAUACGUCUCCGAUCGAAGGGAAUUGGGUCAGUAAUACUGCAAGAAGAUCAUCCAAUGGCUCCAAGUGAAAUAUUUGUGUUCAACUUUAAUUCAAAGGAGGAGCUGAAGAGGUGGCACUUGUACUCUGAUUCAGUUUAUGGAGUGAUAAUUGCAUACAAAGUUAUACACUGAGAACUGGGUCAAUUCACCAGAGCAGCAGGAAGACAACUCAAUGCAAGCUUUUUGUCUUCAUUCCCAAGGAUCACUGGCAUAUUGUGAAGCACAAUGUUAGAAUGAAUCGUCAUCGCCAUGUCUCUUCCUGUCAAUGCUGAAGGUGGUGUUCCUGGUGCUAAAUCUGGACCUGGAGAUUUCAGACUGGAACUCGAUUGGAUCAAGGCACCGAGGAUCCAGCGUUUUGUGUACAACCCGUUUGUAUUUGACUUGAUAAGGAGAUCCAUGGAGCCUGCAUAGAGAAAUCCAGUUACACUGCCGGAGAACCAUUUGCUUUAAGAUCUUCCACCUCUGGUGGGAAGUAGAACAAGAGAACAAGAGAAGCAGAACAGAAAGGACAAAAAGAGCGGUGGGAAGUCUCCAUGGAGCCGGAUUCUUUCUUGUCAUCCCAUGGGUGGAUGCCAUGUGAUGGACAUGGUAUCGUGGAUUUCUUCCUUGGCUGUGUCACAUUGUCACUUAUGAAAGGAAAAAGCUAGUUAAACUAAUAAAUUGAGCCUCUCAUCGCACAAGAUAUCCACUUUGGGACU